rnacentral:rRNA from 1 species
UUGGCCCUACGGGAGGCAGCAGUGAGGAAUAUUGGUCAAUGGGCGCGAGCCUGAACCAGCCACGUCGCGUGAGGGAUGACGGCCCUACGGGUUGUAAACCUCUUUUGCCGGGGAGCAACGGGCGCCACGUGUGGCGCCACUGAGAGUACCCGGAGAAAAAGCAUCGGCUAACUCCGUGCCAGCAGCCGCGGUAAUACGGAGGAUGCGAGCGUUAUCCGGAUUUAUUGGGUUUAAAGGGUGCGCAGGCGGAUUUUUAAGUCAGCGGUCAAAUCGUGGGGCUCAACCCCAUCCAGCCGUUGAAACUG